UGGGGAAUCUUGCGCAAUGGGCGAAAGCCUGACGCAGCAACGCCGCGUGAGCGAAGAAGGCCUUCGGGUUGUAAAGCUCUGUCAGGGGGAAAGAAGGCACCUGGGUUAAUAGCCCAAGGGCUGACGGUACCCCCAGAGGAAGCCACGGCUAACUACGCGCCAGCAGCCGCGGUAAUACGUAGGUGGCGAGCGUUGUCCGGAAUCAUUGGGCGUAAAGAGCGCGUAGGUGGCUUGUCAGGUCUGAUGUGAAAACCUGGGGCUCAACCCCAGGCCUGCAUCGGAAACCGGCUUGCUAGAGUCUGGGAGAGGAGAGUGGAAUUUCUGGUGUAGCGGUGAAAUGCGUAGAUAUCAGGAGGAACACCGGUAGCGAAGGCGGCUCUCUGGAACAGUACUGACGCUGAGGCGCGAAAGCUAGGGGAGCGAACAG
rnacentral:rRNA from 1 species